GCCACGGUGGUCUAGCGGUUAGAACGUUGGCCUUGUAAUCCUGGGGUCUCGGGUUCGAUUCCCGGCGGUGCCC
rfam:Zootermopsis nevadensis contig14363, whole genome shotgun sequence.